CAGGUCGCCGUUUUUGGCGUUAAACCGGAAUCGGGUGAAAUUCCCGUACAAGGCCGUUGCCGUGUUUCGCUGUAAAAUGCGCUUUCUUUAAUGAAAGCCACCGUGUAAAAGCGGGAAGGCGCGCAUUUAUGCCGUUUGGCAAAGCGAUCAGUCGGAAUACCUGCCUGCGUUU
rnacentral:ncRNA from 1 species